rnacentral:rRNA from 1 species
AAUAUGUAUAUUAUUUAUUUUAAAGUUUUAUUAUUUCUUAAUUAAAAUAAUAUUUUUAUUAGUAUUUUUUAAAGAAUAUAAUAUUUUAAUUAUAGUUUAUUUGUACUGUGAAGGUUUUAUUCUAUUUAUUUAUAAGAACAUAUUAAUAUGUUACCUUUUGUAUCAGGGUUUAUUCAGAAAGUUUCAUUUAAAAUGAAAUUUCCCGAAAUUUUAAGAGUUAAAUUAAAAUGAUAGUUUAUGUUAUAAAAUAAUUAUAAAUUUUAAUUUAGUGGAGAUAUUCUAUUCAUUUAAAAAUAUCUGGUUUUUUAAUAAUUAAAUUUAAUUUAUAAUCAAUGAGUUAUUAAAUACUUAUAUUUACUUUAAUUUAUUGAUUAAAAGUAAUAAGGGAUUAGCUUUAUUACUACUUUACAAUUUUAUUAUACUAAGGCUUAGUAGGUUUAAAAUCAUCCAUCUUUAAUUUCGUUAUAGAUUAUCCUUUUUAUUUAUUUAUUUAUUUUAAUUUAAAUUUUUAUUAAAAUUAUUAAUUAAAUUCUUUAAUUAAUAUAAUAAUGAUAAAAUUAGUAGUUUUUAAAAUUUAAAUAUAGUAAUUCGGCAAAUAUUGUUUCCGCCUGUUUAACAAAAACAUGUCUUGAAGAUCUUAAUUUUAAGUCUAUCCUGCUCAAUGAUUUUAAUAAUUAAAUAGCCGCAGUAUUUUAACUGUGCAAAGGUAGCAUAAUCAUUUGUCUUUUAAUUGAAGGCUUGUAUGAAUGGUUGGACGAGAUACAUUCUUUCUUUAUUUAAAUUUAUGAAUUUUAUUUUUGAGUAAAAAAGCUUAAAUUCUUUUGUAAGACGAGAAGACCCUAUAGAAUUUUAUUAAUUCUUAAUUAAUUUUUAUCAAUUUUAUUUAUUUAUUAACUAAAAAUUAAUUUUGUUGGGGUGACAAUGAAAUUUAAUUAACUUUCAUUAAUAUUACUCAUUAAUUAAUGUAUAAAUGAUCCUUUAUUAUGGAUUAAAAGAUUAAAUUACCUUAGGGAUAACAGCGUAAUUUUUUCUGAGAGUUCUUAUCGAUGAAUAAAGUUUGCGACCUCGAUGUUGGAUUAAAGUUAGAUUUAAGUGCAGAAGCUUAAUUUCUAGGUCUGUUCGACCUUUAAAUCUUUACAUGAUCUGAGUUCAGACCGGCGUGAGCCAGGUUGGUUUCUAUCUUCAAUUUUAUUUUAAUUUUUUAGUACGAAAGGACCAAAUAUUAAUAAUAUUUAUUUAUUUUAUGAUUAAUAUU